ACUCCUACGGGAGGCAGCAGUGGGGAAUAUUGGACAAUGGGGGAAACCCUGAUCCAGCCAUGCCGCGUGUGUGAAGAAGGCCUUCGGGUUGUAAAGCACUUUCAGUGGGGAGGAAAGGUUGUUGGUUAAUACCUAACAGCUGUGACGUUACCCACAGAAGAAGCACCGGCUAACUCCGUGCCAGCAGCCGCGGUAAUACGGAGGGGGCUAGCGUUGUUCGGAAUUACUGGGCGUAAAGCGCACGUAGGCGGAUUGGAAAGUUGGGGGUGAAAUCCCGGGGCUCAACCCCGGAACGGCCUUCAAAACUCCCAGUCUAGAGGUCGAGAGAGGUGAGUGGAAUUCCGAGUGUAGAGGUGAAAUUCGUAGAUAUUCGGAGGAACACCAGUGGCGAAGGCGGCUCACUGGCUCGAUACUGACGCUGAGGUGCGAAAGCGUGGGGAGCAAACAGGAUCAGAUACCCUGGUAGCGAGUA
rnacentral:rRNA from 1 species